GUCGAGAAUCUUCCGCAAUGGGCGAAAGCCUGACGGAGCGACGCCGCGUGGAGGACGAAGGCCUUCGGGUUGUAAACUCCUGUCACGAGUUAAGAAGGAUUCGAUACGAACAGUGUUGAGUCUUGACGUAAGCUCGAGAGGAAGCACUGGCUAACUCUGUGCCAGCAGCCGCGGUAAUACAGAGAGUGCGAACGUUGUUCGGAAUUACUGGGCUUAAAGCGCACGUAGGCGGUGUCGUAAGUGUCAGGUGAAAUCCCACGGCUCACCCGUGGAACUGCCUGGCAGACUGCGACACUCGAGUGUGGUAGGGGAGAGCGGAACUCCUGGUGGAGCGGUGAAAUGCGUAGAUAUCAGGAGGAACACCGGUGGCGAAGGCGGCUCUCUGGUCCACAACUGACGCUGAGGUGCGAAAGCUAGGGGAGCAAACGGGAUUAGAUACCCCUGUAGUCC
rnacentral:rRNA from 1 species